rnacentral:rRNA from 1 species
UGACAGCCCCGUACACAAAAAUGCACAUAUUGUGAGCUCGAUGAGUAGGGCGGGACACGUGGUAUCCUGUCUGAAUAUGGGGGGCCCAUCCUCCAAGGCUAAAUACUCCUGACUGACCGAUAGUGAACCAGUACCGUGAGGGAAAGGCGAAAAGAACCCCGGCGAGGGGAGUGAAAAAGAACCUGAAACCGUGUACGUACAAGCAGUGGGAGCACGCUUAGGCGUGUGACUGCGUACCUUUUGUAUAAUGGGUCAGCGACUUAUAUUCUGUAGCAAGGUUAACCGAAUAGGGGAGCCGAAGGGAAACCGAGUCUUAACUGGGCGUUAAGUUGCAGGGUAUAGACCCGAAACCCGGUGAUCUAGCCAUGGGCAGGUUGAAGGUUGGGUAACACUAACUGGAGGACCGAACCGACUAAUGUUGAAAAAUUAGCGGAUGACUUGUGGCUGGGGGUGAAAGGCCAAUCAAACCGGGAGAUAGCUGGUUCUCCCCGAAAGCUAUUUAGGUAGCGCCUCGUGAAUUCAUCUCCGGGGGUAGAGCACUGUUUCGGCAAGGGGGUCAUCCCGACUUACCAACCCGAUGCAAACUGCGAAUACCGGAGAAUGUUAUCACGGGAGACACACGGCGGGUGCUAACGUCCGUCGUGAAGAGGGAAACAACCCAGACCGCCAGCUAAGGUCCCAAAGUCAUGGUUAAGUGGGAAACGAUGUGGGAAGGCCCAGACAGCCAGGAUGUUGGCUUAGAAGCAGCCAUCAUUUAAAGAAAGCGUAAUAGCUCACUGGUCGAGUCGGCCUGCGCGGAAGAUGUAACGGGGCUAAACCAUGCACCGAAGCUGCGGCAGCGACGCUUAUGCGUUGUUGGGUAGGGGAGCGUUCUGUAAGCCUGCGAAGGUGUGCUGUGAGGCAUGCUGGAGGUAUCAGAAGUGCGAAUGCUGACAUAAGUAACGAUAAAGCGGGUGAAAAGCCCGCUCGCCGGAAGACCAAGGGUUCCUGUCCAACGUUAAUCGGGGCAGGGUGAGUCGACCCCUAAGGCGAGGCCGAAAGGCGUAGUCGAUGGGAAACAGGUUAAUAUUCCUGUACUUGGUGUUACUGCGAAGGGGGGACGGAGAAGGCUAUGUUGGCCGGGCGACGGUUGUCCCGGUUUAAGCGUGUAGGCUGGUUUUCCAGGCAAAUCCGGAAAAUCAAGGCUGAGGCGUGAUGACGAGGCACUACGGUGCUGAAGCAACAAAUGCCCUGCUUCCAGGAAAAGCCUCUAAGCAUCAGGUAACAUCAAAUCGUACCCCAAACCGACACAGGUGGUCAGGUAGAGAAUACCAAGGCGCUUGAGAGAACUCGGGUGAAGGAACUAGGCAAAAUGGUGCCGUAACUUCGGGAGAAGGCACGCUGAUAUGUAGGUGAAGUCCCUUGCGGAUGGAGCUGAAAUCAGUCGAAGAUACCAGCUGGCUGCAACUGUUUAUUAAAAACACAGCACUGUGCAAACACGAAAGUGGACGUAUACGGUGUGACGCCUGCCCGGUGCCGGAAGGUUAAUUGAUGGGGUCAGCGCAAGCGAAGCUCUUGAUCGAAGCCCCGGUAAACGGCGGCCGUAACUAUAACGGUCCUAAGGUAGCGAAAUUCCUUGUCGGGUAAGUUCCGACCUGCACGAAUGGCGUAAUGAUGGCCAGGCUGUCUCCACCCGAGACUCAGUGAAAUUGAACUCGCUGUGAAGAUGCAGUGUACCCGCGGCAAGACGGAAAGACCCCGUGAACCUUUACUAUAGCUUGACACUGAACAUUGAGCCUUGAUGUGUAGGAUAGGUGGGAGGCUUUGAAGUGUGGACGCCAGUCUGCAUGGAGCCGGCCUUGAAAUACCACCCUUUAAUGUUUGAUGUUCUAACGUGGACCCGUGAUCCGGGUUGCGGACAGUGUCUGGUGGGUAGUUUGACUGGGGCGGUCUCCUCCUAAAGAGUAACGGAGGAGCACGAAGGUUGGCUAAUCCUGGUCGGACAUCAGGAGGUUAGUGCAAUGGCAUAAGCCAGCUUGACUGCGAGCGUGACGGCGCGAGCAGGUGCGAAAGCAGGUCAUAGUGAUCCGGUGGUUCUGAAUGGAAGGGCCAUCGCUCAACGGAUAAAAGGUACUCCGGGGAUAACAGGCUGAUACCGCCCAAGAGUUCAUAUCGACGGCGGUGUUUGGCACCUCGAUGUCGGCUCAUCACAUCCUGGGGCUGAAGUAGGUCCCAAGGGUAUGGCUGUUCGCCAUUUAAAGUGGUACGCGAGCUGGGUUUAGAACGUCGUGAGACAGUUCGGUCCCUAUCUGCCGUGGGCGCUGGAGAACUGAGGGGGGCUGCUCCUAGUACGAGAGGACCGGAGUGGACGCAUCACUGGUGUUCGGGUUGUCAUGCCAAUGGCACUGCCCGGUAGCUAAAUGCGGAAGAGAUAAGUGCUGAAAGCAUCUAAGCACGAAACUUGCCCCGAGAUGAGUUCUCCCUGACCCUUUAAGGGUCCUGAAGGAACGUUGAAGACGACGACGUUGAUAGGCCGGGUGUGUAAGCGCAGCGAUGCGUUGAGCUAACCGGUACUAAUGAACCGUGAGG